GAAUUCCUGAAGAAACCACUGAAUAUUUUAAAAGCCAUACAGACUCUGAGCCUCUCACCUGGAACCAAAGCCUCAUCAGAGAAGACUGGCCAUAGUGGGAGACAGAUCCUAAGAACUCGAAGGGAAAAACAGUUACUAAUUAAAAAAUAGAAUGGAGAAGGAGGUGGAAGGAUGAUUGGCCACUAAAGCAGCAUUCUGAGCACACCACCUGCUAGAGGCCACAGGACCUAAGCAAGCAUCCAAAACCAUGGAGGAAGCAGCUGACAGCAUAAAGAACAAGCAACUGAGUGUUCCUUAUCCCCAUCCCUUGACAAAUCCAUAGGCAAUAGCAACAUGAAUGGUAGUACUCGGCUAAUGGAAAGGACUAGAG
rnacentral:lncRNA from 1 species